rnacentral:misc_RNA from 1 species
CAAAGGUACUCUAUUUUUGGCUUCCUGAAAAGCUUGCAUAUCUUGAUUCCUUGUUCAUGCUAGAGUCCCUGCUGGCCUUCCUGUUGUCUAUAAACAUCAGUCAGUACUAAUAACAUCUAUUGUUUAUUAUCAAAUAAUAGGCAAACCUUGCUAAGCAUGAAGAUGAUACUAAAUGGGUUGUUAUCAUUAUUUCUCUCCCCCUGUAUUUUAUGGGAAGAUAAACAGAAGUAAAGAACAGUAAAUAAAAGAGAUAUUUGAAGGCUGAGGGAACUAUAUGUGGCAGCAUUUUAGCCGUUAUCAUUUAGCAGUUCUCAGGUUUAAUGUGGAGUACAAUAUUGCUCCUUUAUACCCUCUAAUUAUAACUUACUACAUGGAAUUUAGCCAAUCAAAUGUCAGUGUAAACAAACUUGUUUCAUAUCCUGUCAAACAUCUGAUGAAUAGCACAUUCAUACUUGCACUGGAGAUGAGUUAAGUGAUUUCUACAUUUUCUUUUACUUUGUUCACUUGAAUUAUGUAGUGAUAAAUUGUUGUUAUGAGGCAUUCUUUUUGUGCCAAUAUAUCAUCAAAUAAUGGGCAGCAUUGAAAAAUCUUUGUUACAAUGCAGAAGGAGG